rnacentral:rRNA from 1 species
UCAGAUAGUUGGAAAGACCCGGGGCGUCAACCUCGGAAUUGCAUUUUAGAAACUGGCAAACUAGAGUACUGUAGAGGGGGUAGAAUUUCUAGGUGUAGCGGUGAAAUAGCGUAGAGAUCUGAAGGAAUACCGGUGGCGAAGGCGGCCCCCUGGACAGAUACUGACACUCAGAUGCGAAAGACGUGGGGAGGCAAACAGGAUUAGAUACCCUGGUAG